rnacentral:lncRNA from 1 species
AACGAUGAUUAAAAGAAGAUUAAGAAGAAGAAGAAUAAUAAGAAUGAUCGAUCGAUGACGAUGAUUUUCUUGAUAUGGAAAGAAAAACGAAACCUGCCUCGCCUCUUUUUCCAGAUGAUUUCAUCCGUCCUCGACGAGCUCACUUCCUGCCAAUCGGCACAGUCGAACUUCAGAAACGUAGCAGAUCACCACCAACACCACCAAAGUAACAUCAGCGCCGAUAACACCAGGAGUGUUCUUGACAAGGGUACGCGAACGAGUGCUGGAGAGAACGAGCCGAGCCGCGAGGGGAGGGAAUUGAGGGAAGAUGAGAGAGAGAGAGAGAGAGAGAGAGAGGACAAGCUCCAUCUGGUAAGCCUGGUAAUUUCACAUAGGUCUAUGGAUACACGAACCACUGCUGGAGGUUCACCAGGCAGGUUGCGUCAGGAUUGCGAGGGGAUAAAUGGAACUAGGUCACCCCUGGGAACUGGAGAGAAAGAGAGAGAGAGAGAGAGCUUGGCAAGGGAGAUCUGGAACACACUUCGAGAAGGAGAAAAAAAACAACCCGAUUUUAUUAAAUUCGAAA